rnacentral:rRNA from 1 species
UACGUAGGGUGCAAGCGUUGUCCGGAUUUAUUGGGCGUAAAGAGCGUGUAGGCGGCCAUGCAGGUCAGCUGUGAAAACUCGAGGCUCAACCUCGAGACGUCGGUUGAAACCGUAUGGCUAGAGUCCGGAAGAGGAGAGUGGAAUUCCCGGUGUAGCGGUGAAAUGCGUAGAUAUCAGGAGGAACACCGGUGGUGUAGACGGCUUUCUGGACCAGUACUGACGCUGAGGCGCGAAAGCGUGGGGAGCAAACAGG